CAUGUAUAUAUAUGUAUAUUUAGUAUAAUUUAAAGGAAAGUUAUAUAAGUAUAAGUUAAAAAAAUAUCAAUAUAAACUUAUAAAUAUAAAGAAAAAUAAUAUAAUUAAAUAAUUAUUAUUAUUUAUUCUUGAGUUAAAUAAUUAAACUAAACAUAUGCUUAUAAAUUAUAUUAUAAAUUAUUAACAUAUAUAUAUAUUAA
rnacentral:RNase_P_RNA from 1 species